GGGGACGUAUUGGAAUCGACAGGUAAGUGAAUCUGUUGGUAAGCAUGCCGGAGCAUGAUAGUUCACUCCGUUAACAAAUGUACUGUCGAACCAUAAGUGGCAACACUUCUUUGAGAAUGGCUGCCUAAUUCUAGGAAUUAGAAAGCCUUUGUACGCCGAUGCACGCGCUACGUGCGCCUCGCCUUCCGCCUGACUGGGGCCGCAUCCGUACAUCAACCACACUCAGGCUGGAAUUCUGCGCUGGCCCGGCGCAGCAUUCGAGAUCCAGGGCUGGGUUCCGGGUUUGGUAAGCUUUCCGACCUCCCCCGGCGCCGAGACACCAAUGGAAAGCUAAGCAUGUAGAAGGCCAUCGGAUGCUUUCUCUGGACGCGAGUUCGACUCUCGCCGUCUCCACAA
rnacentral:tmRNA from 1 species